rnacentral:rRNA from 1 species
GCAAGUCAAGGAGAAAGUUUUCCUUCGGGGAGAUGAUUAAACUGGCGAACGGGUGAGUAACGCGUAGGCAACCUGCCCUUGUGAGUGGGAUAACAUCGAGAAAUCGGUGCUAAUACCAUAUAAUAUUCUUUUACUACCUGGUAGUAGAAUCAAAGGUGCUUUUGUACCGCACAGGGAUGGGCCUGCGUUCCAUUAGUUAGUUGGUGAGGUAACGGCUCACCAAGACCGCGAUGGAUAGCUGAUCUGAGAGGGUGAUC